GACAAGAAAUAACAAUACGGGGCUUAAUGUCUUGUAAUUGGAAUGAUGGGAAUUUAAACCUCUUCCAGAGUAUCAAUUGGAGGGCAAGUCUGGUGCCAGCAGCCGCGGUAAUUCCAGCUCCAAUAGCGUAUAUUAAAAUUGUUGCAGUUAAAAAGCUCGUAGUUGAAUUUCUGCUGCAUUGCAUUUGCUCCUUGACGAGUGUCUGUAUUGCGGCUUAUUUCGGAUUAUGCUUGCAUUUUCCGGAUGUUUACUUUGAGAAAAUUAGAGUGCUCAAAGCAGGCUUUUGCCUUGAAUAGUUUAGCAUGGAAUAAUAAAGUAGGGCUUUGGUUCUAUUUUGUUGGUUUUAGGUACCAAAGUAAUGGUUAAUAGGAACAGUUGGGGGCAUUCGUAUUUAACUGUCAGAGGUGAAAUUCUUAG
rnacentral:rRNA from 1 species